rnacentral:rRNA from 1 species
GACGAACGCUGGCGGCGUGCCUAAUACAUGCAAGUUGAGCGCUGAAGGCUGGUACUUGUACCAACUGGAUGAGCAGCGAACGGGUGAGUAACGCGUGGGGAAUCUGCCUUUGAGCGGGGGACAACAUUUGGAAACGAAUGCUAAUACCGCAUAAAAACUUUAAACACAAGUUUUAAGUUUGAAAGAUGCAAUUGCAUCACUCAAAGAUGAUCCCGCGUUGUAUUAGCUAGAUGGUGAGGUAAAGGCUCACCAAGGCGAUGAUACAUAGCCGACCUGAGAGGGUGCUCGGCCUCAUUGGGACUGAGACACGGCCCAAACUCCUACGGGAGGCAGCAGUAGGGAAUCUUCGGCGAUGGACGAAAGUCUGACCGAGCAACGCCGCGUGAGUGAAGAAGGUUUUCGGAUCGUAAAACUCUGUUGGUAGAGAAGAACGUUGGUGAGAGUGGAAAGCUCAUCAAGUGACGGUAACUACCCAGAAAGGGACGGCUAACUACGUG